GAUGAAGGAACGUAGCGAAAUGCGAUACGUAGUGUGAAUUGCAGAAUUCAGUGAAUCAUCGAAUCUUUGAACGCACAUUGCACCUCUCGGUAUUCCGGGAGGUAUGCCUGUUCGAGCGUCAUUUGUACCCUCAAGCUCUGCUUGGUGUUGGGUGUUUGUUCCGCCUCUGUGUGUGAACUCGCCUCAAAACAAUUGGCAGCCGGCGUACUUGUUUCGGAGCGCAGCACAUUUUGCGAUCCAGAUCAACGUACAGCGGCAUCCAAGAAGCCUUAUUUAACGCUCUUGACCUCGGAUCAGGUAGGGAUACCCGCUGAACUUAAGCAUAUCAAUAAGCGGAGGA
rnacentral:misc_RNA from 1 species